rnacentral:rRNA from 1 species
GAUGAACGCUAGCGGCAGGCUUAAUACAUGCAAGUCGAGGGGUAGCAAGAUUGUAGCAAUACAAUUGUUGACGACCGGCAAACGGGUGCGGAACACGUACACAACCUUCCUACAAGUGGGGAACAGCCCAGAGAAAUUUGGAUUAAUACCCCGUAACAUAGCGAUGUGGCAUCACAUUGCUAUUAUAGCUUCGGCGCUUGUUGAUGGGUGUGCGGCUGAUUAGAUAGUUGGCGGGGUAACGGCCCACCAAGUCUACGAUCAGUAGCUGAUGUGAGAGCAUGAUCAGCCACACGGGCACUGAGACACGGGCCCGACUCCUACGGGAGGCAGCAGUAAGGAAUAUUGGACAAUGGACGCAAGUCUGAUCCAGCCAUGCCGCGUGAAGGAUUAAGGUCCUCUGGAUUGUAAACUUCUUUUAUAAGGGACGAAAAAAGGUCUUUCUAGAUCGUCUGACGGUACCUUAUGAAUAAGCACCGGCUAACUACGUGCCAGCCGCCGCAGUAAGAC